CGUUGUAGGCGGGGACAUAAGUCAGAUGUGAAAUACCGAGGCUUAACUUCGGGGCUGCAUCUGAAACUAUGUUUCUUGAGUGUCGGAGAGGAAAGUGGAAUUCCCAGUGUAGCGGUGAAAUGCGUAGAUAUUGGGAGGAACACCAGUGGCGAAGGCGACUUUCUGGACGAUAACUGACGCUGAGGCGCGAAAGCGUGGGGAGCAAACAGGAUUAGAUACCCUGGUAGUCCACGCUGUAAACGAUGGAUACUAGGUGUAGGAGGUAUCGACCCCUUCUGUGCCGGAGUUAACACAAUAAGUAUCCCACCUGGGGAGUACGGCCGCAAGGUUGAA
rnacentral:rRNA from 1 species